rnacentral:rRNA from 1 species
CAGUAGCCGCGGUAAUACAGAGGUCCCGAGCGUUGUUCGGAUUCACUGGGCGUAAAGGGUGUGUAGGAGGUUGGAUAAGUCAGGUGUGAAAUCCCACAGCUUAACUGUGGAACUGCAUUCGAUACUGUCUGACUAGAGGAUCGGAGGGGGAAGCGGAAUUCUUGGUGUAGCGGUGAAAUGCGUAGAUAUCAAGAGGAACACCGGUGGCGAAGGCGACUUCCUGGACGAUUCCUGACUCUGAAACACGAAAGCCAGGGGAGCGAAUGGGAUUAGAUACCCCCGUAGUCCCUGUCUCUUAUAA